GACGAACGCUGGCGGCGUGCCUAAUAAAUGCAAGUAGAACGAUGAAGGAGGAGAUUGCUCUUCUAGAUGAGUGGCGAACGGGUGAGUAACGCGUAGGUAACCUGCCGGGUAGCGGGGGAUAACUAUUGGAAACGAUAGCUAAUACCGCAUAAGAGAAGAUGUUACAUGACAUUUACUUAAAAGGUGCAAUUGCAUCACUACCAGCUGGACAUGCGUUGUAUUAGCUAGUUGGAGGGGUAACGGCUUACCAAGGCGACGAUACAUAGCCGACCUGAAAGGGUGCUCCGCAACUAUGGGACUGAGACACGGCCCAGACUUCUCCAGGAGGCCGCAGUAGCGAACCUACGGCAAUGGACGGAAGGCUGACCCAGCAACGCCGCGCGAGUGACGAAUGUGUUCAGGUCGUCAAGCGCUGUCUUAUGUGAAGAUCGUGUCCGCCCGUGGAACUCCCCCACUGCUACAUCCCCUUACCAGUAACCAACGCCCCACUACGUC
rnacentral:rRNA from 1 species